UACGUAGGGUGCAAGCGUUGUCCGGAAUUAUUGGGCGUAAAGAGCUCGUAGGUGGUCUGUUACGUCGGCUGUGAAAACCUGGGGCUCAACCCCGGGCCUGCAGCCGAUACGGGCAGACUAGAAUUCGGUAGGGGAGACGUGGAAUUCCUGGUGUAGCGGUGGAAUGCGCAGAUAUCAGGAGGAACACCGGUGGCGAAGGCGGGUCUCUGGGACGGUACUGACGCUGAGACGCGAAAGCGUGGGGAGCGAACAGG
rnacentral:rRNA from 1 species